GUGGCGGACGGGUGAGUAACGCGUAAAGAACUUGCCUUACAGACUGGGACAACAUUUGGAAACGAAUGCUAAUACCGGAUAUUAUGACUGAGUCGCAUGAUUUGGUUAUGAAAGCUAUAUGCGCUGUGAGAGAGCUUUGCGUCCCAUUAGUUAGUUGGUGAGGUAACGGCUCACCAAGACGAUGAUGGGUAGCCGGCCUGAGAGGGUGAACGGCCACAAGGGGACUGAGACACGGCCCUUACUCCUACGGGAGGCAGCAGUGGGGAAUAUUGGACAAUGGACCAAAAGUCUGAUCCAGCAAUUCUGUGUGCACGAUGAAGUUUUUCGGAAUGUAAAGUGCUUUCAGUUGGGAAGAAGUCAGUGACGGUACCAACAGAAGAAGCGACGGCUAAAUACGUGCCAGCAGCCGCGGUAAUACGUAUGUCGCAAGCGUUAUCCGGAUUUAUUGGGCGUAAAGGCGCGUCUAGGCGGUUUAGUAAGUCUGAUGUGAAAAAUGCGGGGCUCAAACCCCGUAUUGCGUUGGAAACUGCUAAACUAGAGUACUGGAGAGGUAGGCGGAACUACAAGUGUAGAGGUGAAAUUCGUAGAUAUUUGUAGGAAUGCCCGAUGGGGAAGCCAGCCUACUGGACAGAUACUGACGCUAAAGCGCGAAAGCGUGGGUAGCAAACAGGAUUAGAUACCCUGGUAGUCCACGCCGUAAACGAUGAUUACUAGGUGUUGGGGGUCGAACCUCAGCGCCCAAGCUAACGCGAUAAGUAAUCCGCCUGGGGAGUACGUACGCAAGUAUGAAACUCAAAGGAAUUGACGGGGACCCGCACAAGCGGUGGAGCAUGUGGUUUAAUUCGACGCAACGCGAGGAACCUUACCAGCGUUUUGACAUCCCAAGAAGUUAACAGAGAUGUUUUCGUGCCUCUUCGGAGGAACUUGGUGACAGGUGGUGCAUGGCUGUCGUCAGCUCGUGUCGUGAGAUGUUGGGUUAAGUCCCGCAACGAGCGCAACCCCUUUCGUAUGUUACCAUCAUUAAGUUGGGGACUCAUGCGAGACUGCCUGCGAUGAGCAGGAGGAAGGUGGGGAUGACGUCAAGUCAUCAUGCCCCUUAUACGCUGGGCUACACACGUGCUACAAUGGGUAGUACAGAGAGCUGCAAACCUGCGAGGGUAAGCUAAUCUCAUAAAACUAUUCUUAGUUCGGAUUGUACUCUGCAACUCGAGUACAUGAAGUUGGAAUCGCUAGUAAUCGCAAAUCAGCUAUGUUGCGGUGAAUACGUUCUCGGGUCUUGUACACACCGCCCGUCACACCACGAGAGUUGGUUGCACCUGAAGUAANCAGGCCUAACCGUAAGGAGGGAUGUCCCGAGGGUG
rnacentral:rRNA from 1 species